GACGAACGCUGGCGGCGUGCCUAAUACAUGCAAGUUGAGCGCUGAAGGUUGGUACUUGUACCAACUGGAUGAGCAGCGAACGGGUGAGUAACGCGUGGGGAAUCUGCCUUUGAGCGGGGGACAACAUUUGGAAACGAAUGCUAAUACCGCAUAAAAACUUUAAACACAAGUUUUAAGUUUGAAAGAUGCAAUUGCAUCACUCAAAGAUGAUCCCGCGUUGUAUUAGCUAGUUGGUGAGGUAAAGGCUCACCAAGGCGAUGAUACAUAGCCGACCUGAGAGGGUGAUCGGCCACAUUGGGACUGAGACACGGCCCAAACUCCUACGGGAGGCAGCAGUAGGGAAUUUUCGGCAAUGGACGAAAGUCUGACCGAGCAACGCCGCGGGGGUGAAGAAGGUUUUCGGAUCGUAAAACUCUGUUGGGAGGGAAGAACGUGGGGGAGAGGGGAAAGCCCAUCAAGGGAGGGAAAUUACCCAAAAAGGGACGGCCAACUACUG
rnacentral:rRNA from 1 species